GAUGAAGAACGUAGUGAAAUGCGAUAAGUAAUGUGAAUUGCAGAAUUCAGUGAAUCAUCGAAUCUUUGAACGCACAUUGCGCCCGCCAGUAUUCUGGCGGGCAUGCCUGUUCGAGCGUCAUUUCAACCCUCAGGCCCCCAGUGCCUGGUGUUGGGGAUCGGCAUCAGGGCGUCCGCGCAAGCGGUCUCCCCGCCGGCCCCGAAAUCUAGUGGCGGUCUCGCUGUAGUCCUCCUCUGCGUAGUAGCACAACCUCGCAGCUGGAACUUGGCGGUGGCCCUGCCGUUAAACACCCCACUUCUGAACGUUUGACCUCGGAUCAGGUAGGAAUACCCGCUGAACUUAAGCAUAUCAAUAAGCGGAGGA
rnacentral:misc_RNA from 1 species